GGGCCCGCACAAGCGGUGGAGCAUUGGUUUAAUUCGAUGCAACGCGAAGAACCUUACCAGGGCUUGACAUACUACAAAUCUUUUAGAAAUAGAAGAGUGCCUUCGGGAAUGUAGAUACAGGUGGUGCAUGGCUGUCGUCAGCUCGUGUCGUGAGAUGUUGGGUUAAGUCCCGCAACGAGCGCAACCCUCGUUUUUAGUUGCCAAUUUCAUUGGGUUUCUAGAGAGACUGCCGGUGACAAACCGGAGGAAGGUGAGGAUGACGUCAAGUCAGCAUGCCCCUUAUGUCCUGGGCUACACACGUGCUACAAUGAUAAAGACAAAGGGUUGCAAAUCCGUGAGGACUAG
rnacentral:rRNA from 1 species